CGACUACGAGUUUGAUCCUGGCUCAGAUUGAACGCUGGCGGCAUGCCUUACACAUGCAAGUCGAACGGUAACGGGCCUUCGGGUGCCGACGAGUGGCGAACGGGUGAGUAAUGCAUCGGAACGUACCUUUCAGUGGGGGAUAACGUAGCGAAAGUUACGCUAAUACCGCAUAUUCUGUGAGCAGGAAAGCAGGGGAUCGCAAGACCUUGCGCUGAUUGAGCGGCCGAUGUCAGAUUAGCUAGUUGGUGAGGUAAAGGCUCACCAAGGCGACGAUCUGUAGCGGGUCUGAGAGGAUGAUCCGCCACACUGGAACUGAGACACGGUCCAGACUCCUACGGGAGGCAGCAGUGGGGAAUUUUGGACAAUGGGGGCAACCCUGAUCCAGCCAUGCCGCGUGCGGGACGAAGGCCUUCGGGUUGUAAACCGCUUUCAGCCGGAAAGAAAUCGCUGUUUUUAAUACGGACAGUGGAUGACGGUACCGGAAGAAGAAGCACCGGCUAACUACGUG
rnacentral:rRNA from 1 species